UCCCUCUUAGCUCAGUGGUAGAGCGCGUCACUAGUAGAUUUCGAUAAUCUGAAAUCCAUCUAUGACGAGGUCAGUCGUUCAAGUCGGCUAGAGGGAA